rnacentral:rRNA from 1 species
GACGAACGCUGGCGGCGUGCCUAAUACAUGCAAGUCGAACGCUGAUUUUUUAACUGAUGCUUGCAUCGACCAAAAAAUCGGAGUGGCGAACGGGUGAGUAACACGUGGGUAACCUGCCUAUCAGAGGGGGAUAACACUUGGAAACAGGUGCUAAUACCGCAUAAUAAUCAUAACCGCAUGGUUAUGAUUUGAAAGGCGCUUUUUUGGUGUCACUGAUAGAUGGACCCGCGGUGCAUUAGCUAGUCGGUGGGGUAACGGCCUACCGAGGCGAUGAUGCAUAGCCGACCUGAGAGGGUGAUCGGCCACAUUGGGACUGAGACACGGCCCAAACUCCUACGGGAGGCAGCAGUAGGGAAUCUUCGGCAAUGGACGGAAGUCUGACCGAGCAACGCCGCGUGAGUGAAGAAGGUUUUCGGAUCGUAAAGCUCUGUUGUUAGAGAAGAACAAGUGUGAAAGUAACUAGUCACACCGUGACGGUAUCUAACCAGAAAGCCACGGCUAACUACGUGCCAGCAGCCGCCGCAGUAAAAC